rnacentral:lncRNA from 1 species
UUGAUCCAAAUUUAAUUUUAAGUCAAUCAUUCAUCAUCCUAUUUGAGUUGGGUUGAUCAAUUCUUAGGUUAACACUAAUCCAAUUAGGUUAGCAUAGAUUCGAUCAACUAUGACUCAAACCCUAAUUGAAUUAGGUAAAUGACAAUUUGAUCAGCUUAAAUUAAACAUGACUUCUAAUCUAAUUAGAAUUAUGAAUUUGAUUUAAUCUAUAAUCAUUAAUUCUAAUC